UGGAAGUAAAAGUCGUAACAGGUCUCCCGUAGGUGAACCUGCGGAGGGAUCAUUA
rnacentral:rRNA from 1 species